UACGACGGGUACGGGUUGUGAGAGCAAGAGCCCGGAGAUGGAUUCUGAGACACGAAUCCAGGCCCUACGGGGUGCAGCAGGCGCGAAAACUUUACAAUGCUGGCAACAGCGAUAAGGGAACCUCGAGUGCCAGGUUACAAAUCUGGCUGUCGAGAUGCCUAAAAAGCAUUUCAUAGCAAGGGCCGGGCAAGACCGGUGCCAGCCGCCGCGGUAACGCCGGCGGCUCGAGUGGUAACCGUUAUUAUUGGGUCUAAAGGGUCUGUAGCCGGCCGGAUAAGUCUCUUGAGAAAUCUGGCAGCUUAACUGUCAGGCUUUCAGGAGAUACUGUCUGGCUCGAGGCCGGGAGAGGUGAGAGGUACUUCAGGGGUAGGGGUGAAAUCUUGUAAUCCUUGAAGGACCACCAGUGGCGAAGGCGUCUCACCAGAACGGACCUGACGGCAAGGGACGAAAGCUAGGGGCACGAACCGGAUUAGAUACCCGGGUAGUCCUAGCCGUAAACGAUACUCGCUAGGUGUCGGCCACGGUGCGACCGUUGUCGGUGCCGUAGGGAAGCCGUGAAGCGAG
rnacentral:rRNA from 1 species